CCCCUCCACACCUAACCACACUGUCUCCGGGGCUUGUUUUCCGUUGCCUGCGGUUUGUUCCAGUGACUCAGGCAGCGAAAGCAAGUCUGGGAGGCUGUGGAGCUGCUGCUGGAAGAGAG
rnacentral:precursor_RNA from 10 species